AUUGCAAUGCCAAAUGUUCCAGUUGUGCAAUGUCAGACUCCAUUUUCUUUAUUGUAAGUCAGUGAAACAUCAAAAUAAGUUUAAAGCCAUGUUUAGGGGGAAAUAACUACAUUGAGUUGAUUUCAAUUCAGAUCAAUUAUGAGAAAUAUACUAGAUAAAAUAAAUAUCAUUUUGAUCUUGAUUGUUUAAUAAAUAUCAUUUUGAUCUUGAUUGUUUAAAUGUUUGGAGGGUAUUUUGUAUCUUUGUUCACUUCAGGUUAAAAUUGCAAGCACAACAGGAGACACCACUAAAGCAGCGGAAGCAUCUCGGAAAGCCAAACUUUUCAACAUAAUUGGACUUGCCAUUGGAGCCAUUUUUACCAUUUUUAUCAUACUUAUUAUUGCCAUACACCACUGAGAAGAGACUGAUUGAAAAUACCAUGAAUGACAGACCUAGAGACAGAAAUGUGAAGAAGUUUUUCCACUGCCCACAACACAACACACCCAUGAAACAUUGUCUGUAGCAUCUGUGCGCAGGCUAGGGCUACUUCAUCAUGUUUUAUUGUAACAAAAGACAUGUAUUACAUUCUCCUUAUACACUCUGCACCCUGGCAUCCCAUUCCCCUUAUGAUGGUGAUGAUUAUGAUGAUGAAGAGGAGGAAGAUGUUUGGAGUUAAAAGAGUUGUACUUUACAAUUUCCUCAUGUGAGAAUUUCCUAAAGAAAAAUAAACCCCUACACCAAAUUCA